rnacentral:miRNA from 1 species
AGGUGGGAGGAUUGCUUGAGCCCAGGAGAUGGAGGCUGCAGUGAGGUAUGAUAGGUCAGUGCACACCAGCCUGGGCAACAGAAGGAGACCCUUGUCUC